UACGAAGGGGGCUAGCGUUGUUCGGAAUCACUGGGCGUAAAGCGCACGUAGGCGGACUGUUAAGUCAGGGGUGAAAUCCUGGGGCUCAACCCCAGAACUGCCUUUGAUACUGGCGGUCUUGAGUGUGGAAGAGGUUGGUGGAACUCCGAGUGUAGAGGUGAAAUUCGUAGAUAUUCGGAAGAACACCAGUGGCGAAGGCGGCCAACUGGUCCACUACUGACGCUGAGGUGCGAAAGCGUGGGGAGCAAACAGGG
rnacentral:rRNA from 1 species